UACGUAGGUGGCAAGCGUUGUCCGGAUUUACUGGGCGUAAAGGGAGCGUAGGCGGAUACUUAAGUGGGAUGUGAAAUACCUGGGCUUAACUUGGGUGCUGCAUUCCAAACUGGGUGUCUAGAGUGUUGGAGAGGAAAGUGGAAUUCCUAGUGUAGCGGUGAAAUGCGUAGAGAUUAGGAAGAACACCAGUGGCGAAGGCGACUUUCUGGACAAUAACUGACGCUGAGGCUCGAAAGCGUGGGGAGCAAACAGGAUUAGAUACCCUGGUAGUCCACGCCGUAAACGAUGGGUACUAGGUGUAUGUGUUAUCGACUCCUCCUGUGCCGCCGUUAACACAAUAAGUACCCCGCCUGGGGAGUACGGUCGCAAGAUUAAA
rnacentral:rRNA from 1 species